UCUAGUUAGCAUUAUACCGUGAAACUGCGAAUGGCUCAUUAAAUCAGUUAUCGUUUAUUUGAUAAUACCUUACUACUUGGAUAACCGUGGUAAUUCUAGAGCUAAUACAUGCUGAAAAUCCCGACUUCGGAAGGGAUGUGUUUAUUAGAUAAAAAACCAAUGCCCUUCGGGGCUUUUUGGUGAUUCAUGAUAACUUUACGGAUCGCAUAGCCUUGCGCUGGCGACGGUUCAUUCAAAUUUCUGCCCUAUCAACUUUCGAUGGUAAGGUAUUGGCUUACCAUGGUUUCAACGGGUAACGGGGAAUUAGGGUUCGAUUCCGGAGAGGGAGCCUGAGAAACGGCUACCACAUCCAAGGAAGGCAGCAGGCGCGCAAAUUACCCAAUCCCGACACGGGGAGGUAGUGACAAUAAAUACUGAUACAGGGCUCUUUUGGGUCUUGUAAUUGGAAUGAGUACAAUUUAAACCUCUUAACGAGGAACAAUUGGAGGGCAAGUCUGGUGCCAGCAGCCGCGGUAAUUCCAGCUCCAAUAGCGUAUAUUAAAGUUGUUGCAGUUAAAAAGCUCGUAGUUGAAACUUGGGCCUGGCUGGCGGGUCCGCCUCACCGCGUGCACUCGUCCGGCCGGGCCUUCCUUCUGAAGAACCUCAUGCCCUUCACUGGGCGUGCUGGGGAAUCAGGACUUUUACUUUGAAAAAAUUAGAGUGUUCAAAGCAGGCCUUUGCUC
rnacentral:rRNA from 1 species